rnacentral:rRNA from 1 species
UGAAUUGACGGGACCCCGCACAAGCAGCGGAGCGUGUGGUUUAAUUCGAUGAUACGCGAAAACCUUACCUGGGUUUGACAUGCAAGUGGUAGGAAUCUGAAAGGGGACCGACCCUUCGGGGAGCUUGCACAGGUGCUGCAUGGCUGUCGUCAGCUCGUGUCGUGAGAUGUUCGGUUAAGUCCGCUAACGAGCGCAACCCUCGUCGUGUGUUACAAGUGUCACACAGGACCGCCGGUCUUAAGCCGGAGGAAGGUGGGGAUGACGUCAAGUCAGCAUGGCCUUUAUGUCCAGGGCUACACACACGCUACAAUGGUCAGCACAAUAGGUAGCCAAGCCGCGAGGUGGAGCAAAUCCUAAAAAGCCGGUCUCAGUUCGGAUUGCAGGCUGCAAUUCGCCUGCAUGAAGUCGGAAUCGCUAGUAAUCGCAGGUCAGCAUACUGCGGUGAAUACGUUCCCGGGCCUU